UACGUAGGGGGCUGGCGUUGUCCGGAAUCAUUGGGCGUAAAGAGCGUGUAGGCGGCCCGGUAAGUCCGCUGUAAAAGUCAAAGGCUUAACCUUUGAAUGUCAGUGGAUACUGCCGGGCUAGAGUCCGGAAGAGGCGAGUGGAACUCCUGGUGUAGCGGUGGAAUGCGCAGAUAUCAGGAAGAACACCAACGGCGAAGGCAGCUCGCUAGGACGGUACUGACGCUGAGACGCGAAAGCGUGGGGAGCGAACAGG
rnacentral:rRNA from 1 species